UACGUAGGGGGCAAGCGUUGUCCGGAUUUAUUGGGCGUAAAGAGCGUGUAGGCGGCCAUGCAGGUCCGUUGUGAAAACUCGAGGCUCAACCUUGAGACGCCGAUGGAAACCGCAUGGCUAGAGUCCGGAAGAGGAGAGUGGAAUUCCCGGUGUAGCGGUGAAAUGCGCAGAUAUCGGGAAGAACACCCGUGGCUAAGGCGGCUCUCUAGUACGGUACUGACGCUGAGACGCGAAAGCGUGGGGAGCGAACAGG
rnacentral:rRNA from 1 species